GUAUGUCCAACACAUUUCAGUCACAAAUACCUUCAUUGUCAGAAGCUUAUUUCCUUGUUUCUUAAUGAAGCAAUCUCAAAGCUUUUUGUUGUCAAAGAUUCUGACAGUCUUUUGACAGAAAGCUUUGAGAUUGCUUCAUUAAGAAACAAGGAAAUAAGCCCUUGACAAAGGCAUUUGUGGCCAAAACACAUUGGGCAUAU
rnacentral:miRNA from 1 species